GCCUGGGUAGCUCAGCUGGUUAAGUGUCUGACUUCAGCUCAGGUCACGAUCUCACAGUUCAUGGGUUUGAGCCCCAUGUCGGGCU
rnacentral:tRNA from 1 species